AUUUGACCAAUCACGGAUAAUGACGACGCAUCUGUAGCUGUUUUUACGCUCAGUGUUGAGGAAAGUCGACUCUGCAACAUACAUAUAAAUACAGUAUUUACUCCAGCUCAACUCGACGUCGAACUUGUGAUAAGUGUCUGAUAAGUGGCUGAGAUCCCCAGUGUCAACACAAGCACACCCAAUGAACAAGCAGGAAGCAUCCAGCACUCCUCUUUCGACCUCACCUCAACCUGUGCUGCUCCCACUACCCCCACUCAACCUAUGUUUGCUACAACAGAUAGUGCCCCUCCUCUAAAAAGUGGAUACCUGCAGUGCAAGGGUCGCGGGUAUGCUGGAGCCUAUCCAGCUGACUUCGGGCGAGAGGUGGGGUACACCUGGUCACUGGUGUACUGCAACUGUGCACACUCACAUUCAUACCUAUGGAAAAUUUAAGGUCGCCAAUGAACCUAAAAUGCAUGUUUUUGGAAUGUGGGAGGAAACCGGAGUACCCGGAGAAAACCCACGAACGCACGGGGACAACAUGCAAGCAGAGAUGCCCAACGGAGAUUCAAACCCACUGUACCACCGUGCGGUCGGUAGCACAUACCAAAUGUAUCAAAUAAAAGUUGAGAAACUUGGCAA